rnacentral:lncRNA from 10 species
GUGGCUUGAAGGUCUUUUUAAAUUGUUGUUGUUAUGUUUUUAUUUUAUUUUACUUUAUUUUUAAAUAGAGAUGAGGUCUUGCUAUGUUGUCCAGGCUGGUCUCAAACUCCUGGGCUCAAGCAGCUCGCCUGUCUUGGCCUCCCAAAGUGCAGGGAUUGCAGAUGUGAGCCACCAUGCUUGGCCCUUGCUAUAUUUUAAAUAGUUAAAAAUACUGUUUUUGUUUUUUUGUUUUUCCUUGCUGAAUACUUGGGAAAAUUGGUUUGUGUCUGUGGCAAAGGAAUUCAACAAUACUUUCAUUUUCAGGUCAGACUAUUUUAAGAAAAUAGAAGACUAUCAUUUACAGCUGGUAUGGCCCUGUGGUGGUGUGGACCCAGACUUCAAACACAGAUGAAGAUCGAAAACUGAUAUCCCGCAUCUGAUAUCAGGAUGAGUUGCAGAAAAACUCCUCAGACACCGGAUUAAAGAAGGAAGAGGUUUUUUAUUUGUCCGGGAGCGUCGGCAGACUCGCGUCUUAAGAGCCGAGCUCCCCGAAAAAGAAAUUCCUAGCCCUUUUAAGGCCUUACAACUCUAAGGAGUCUACGUGAAAGAGUCAUAAUAGAUCAAGUAAGUGUGAGGAAUGUGACUGGGGGCUACAUAUAUCAGCUAACAGAACAAAAAGUUUUACAGUGCUUUCUCAUACAAUGUCUGGAAUUUACAGAUAACACCAGUAGUUUUGGUCAGGGGUUAAUAUUAUUAUUAUUAUUAUUUUAAACACCAGGGCCAGGUGGUGGCGCCAAGGUCAUCUAGCUAUUUAUCUUACUUCUGUUUCUUUCCAACUUUUUGCUUUCUCCCUUUUCUCCUGUCUUAUAAACUAGGGAAAAGGGGAGGUUGGGGAGAAACUGGGAAAGACAACACGAGAAGUGGUGGUCUCAUGCCAUACUAUGACCCCAGAAAGUUGCAUUGGGUUUCUUUGUAUUUCAAUGCCUUCAACCUACUUCCAGCCCCUGGCAACCAUUGAUCUAAUUUCUAUGCAUAUAGUGUUGGUUUUUUAUAGUAUCAUAUACUUGGGAUCGUAGAAUAAUGAUCCAUUUGUUUCUGACUUCUUUCACUCAGCACCAUGCUUCUGAGACUCAUCCAUAUUGUUGUAUGUAUCAGUGGUUCAUUUUUGUUGUUGAUGAGUAUUAUAUUGUAUGGAUAUGUGACAGUUUGCUAAUUCAUUCAUCAGUUCCUGGACAUUUGGGUUGUUUCCAGGACUUUGUGUAUGUAUGGCAUAAAACAUGUAAAAACCAUGUUUAUUUUUAAGAUCUGAAUUUCAGCACAAAACAGUUAAAAUGUCCAUGAUAAAUGAAGAAAAAUUUUUGGUCCACCCAUGUUUUUCUUUUUCUUUUUUUUGUGACAGGGUCUCAUUCUAUCUUCCAGGCUGGAGUUCAGUGGCAUGAUCUUGACUCACUGCAGCCUCAAGCCCCACCCAGGCUCAAGGGAUCCUCCUACCUUAGCCUCCCUAAUAACUGGGACCACAGGUGCACACCACCCCACCUGGCUAAUUUUUUUUCUUUUCUUUUCUCUUCUUCUUCUUUUUCUUAUUUGUAGAAACAGGUUUUCACCACGUUACCAAGGCUGAUUUUUUUUUUCUAGGAAUGAAAACAUGAUGGUUUGCCUUUAGUUGGGGAUCUAUUUCCUCAUUACUGCCACUUCUACCACCGGCACCAGCCCCACCCCCACAUGAGUACUUAAUUAUCAUGAAAAUAGUCAAUAAGUGAGGGUGUGAAAACUCAAGGAGCAAAAAAUGCUCUAUAUAUUUCAUAUGUAAUAUUGCUUAGAGAUUUCCUGAAAAUACCUUAUUAAGUGUAUAUUUAUGGUGGUGAUCAUUGCAGACAAAUUAAGAAUUCAGAGCCCAAUCCUAACUUCAAGCCAAGAAGUAAAAAAAGGAAGAAAAAAUCAAGACGCUCAGAACAGAACUCCAGCAAUAUUGAACCCAGGAAAAACGUCUUCACAAAUACAAAAGUGUUUCAAGGAAAAAUUGAAGUCACUCCUGCCCACAUCCACUGCCCAGUGUAACCGCCCUUAAAGAUUGCUGUGUAUUUGUGUACUAAUUUUUCUGUGUUUAUAAAAUCAUUCAUAUAUUUAUUAAUAACAUGUUUAGAAGAAAUCUCUGCAUUAACCUCAGGGCACACAGCUGUCUUUGAUCGCCCCCAACUCCUCAGAAUGUCCUGCCUCCAUUUCACUCUCCCACAGCUGACUUUCUCCCAUGCUUAGGCCCCCCAAGAGCACCUGCUGAAAAACUACUUCCAACCUUAAGCUCAGGCCCUGACUCACAGCCCUUUAUUCUAACAGAGCCCCUAGGUGUUUGGGCAGAGGUAGGUGGGUAUUACGAGGGAAGCGGGAGGAGGACAGUGAGGCCCCUUAAGUUCUUUGUCCUGGCCAGGCGGCUGCCCUCCUGCAUUACAGGUCUCCACAGGAUAGGUCCCAAUUCCCAACUACUUUCAAUUGGUGGGGUGUGGAUUGGCAGGAUGGGUUAAUGCUCUGCCACAACUUUCUCACUUUAUAAUGGGAGCUGUAUGGUAAAUUCACCUGAUAGUAAUAACUUAAGCAUAUCCUGAGAAUGAUCCUGUAUGGCAGACGCACCUGAAUCCUGAAUGUGUGUUUGAAGUUCUGAGCUAAGAAAUCUGGGGGUGGCCAACACAGAGAUUCAUUUCUUAUUUAUGAAGAAGCUGUGAACCCCCAGCCGUCCCGUCCCAUGGAAUGUGGGCUAUACAGGGGUUCAAGGCCCUGUAUUUUGGGUUAAAUGAAGACUGCCAGGUGGAGGUUGUUAGGGGGAGGCUGUGAAGUGAAAAUACUAUAUAAGGCCGGGCGCGGUGGCUCACACCUGUAAUCCCAGCACUUUGGGAGGCCGAGGUGGGCGGAUCAUGGGGUCAAGAGAUCGAGACCAUCCUGGCCAACAUGGUGAAACCCCGUCUCUACUAAAAAUACAAAAAAGUUAGCUGGGCAUGUUAGCACGUGCGUGUAGUCCCAGCUACUCGGGAGGCUGAGGCAGGAGAAUCGCUUGAACCCAGGAGGUGGAGGUUGCAGUGAGCCGAGACCGCGCCACUGCACUCCAGCCUGGCGACUGAUCGAGACUCCAUCUCAAAAUAAAACCCUCUAUAAAUUGUGUGACUUUAUUUUGCAAGUGGUUGUGGUUCUGUUGUCCAGCCCACUGUCGUUGGGUCUUGUUCCCCAAUUGUAAGCCCUCAAUAAAACCUCAUGUCUC